rnacentral:rRNA from 1 species
UGCAAGUCGAACGAGAGAGAAGGAGCUUGCUUCUUCGAUCGAGUGGCGAACGGGUGAGUAACGCGUGAGGAACCUGCCUCAAAGAGGGGGACAACAGUUGGAAACGACUGCUAAUACCGCAUAAGCCCACGGGUCGGCAUCGACCUGAGGGAAGAGGAGUGAUCCGCUUUGAGAUGGCCUCGCGUCCGAUUAGCUAGUUGGUGAGGUAAUGGCCCACCAAGGCGACGAUCGGUAGCCGGACUGAGAGGUUGAACGGCCACAUUGGGACUGAGACACGGCCCAGACUCCUACGGGAGGCAGCAGUGGGGAAUAUUGCACAAUGGGGGAAACCCUGAUGCAGCGACGCCGCGUGGAGGAAGAAGGUCUUCGGAUUGUAAACUCCUGUUGUUGAGGAAGAUAAUGACGGUACUCAACAAGGAAGUGACGGCUAACUACGUGCCAGCAGCCGCGGUAAAACGUAGGUCACAAGCGUUGUCCGGAAUUACUGGGUGUAAAGGGAGCGCAGGCGGGAAGACAAGUUGGAAGUGAAAUCUAUGGGCUCAACCCAUAAACUGCUUUCAAAACUGUUUUUCUUGAGUAGUGCAGAGGUAGGCGGAAUUCCCGGUGUAGCGGUGGAAUGCGUAGAUAUCGGGAGGAACACCAGUGGCGAAGGCGGCCUACUGGGCACCAACUGACGCUGAGGCUCGAAAGUGUGGGUAGCAAACAGGAUUAGAUACCCUGGUAGUCCACACCGUAAACGAUGAUUACUAGGUGUUGGAGGAUUGACCCCUUCAGUGCCGCAGUUAACACAAUAAGUAAUCCACCUGGGG